AUUCCAGCUCCAAUAGCGUAUAUUAAAGUUGUUGCAGUUAAAACGCUCGUAGUCGGAUUUCGGGGCGGCUUCGUCGGUCUGCCGAUGGGUAUGCACUGACGCGGGCGUCCUUCCUUCCGGAGACGCGUCCUACUCUUAGCUGAGCGGGGCGUGGAGACGGAUCGUUUACUUUGAAAAAAUCAGAGUGUUUCAAGCAGGCAUCAUCGCUCUUGCAUGGAUUAGCAUGGGAUAAUGAAAUAGGACUUUUUCCUCUUCUGUUGGUCUGAGGGGUUCGAGUAAUGAUUAAUAGGGAUAGUUGGGGGCAUUAGUACUUUGCUGUCAGAGGUGAAAUUCUCGGAUUUGCAAAAGACUAACUUAUGCGAAUGCAUUUGCCAAGGAUGUUUUCAUCA
rnacentral:rRNA from 1 species